CAGCCGCCGCGGUAAUACGUAGGUGGCGAGCGUUGUCCGGAAUCAUUGGGCGUAAAGGGAGCGCAGGCGGGCAUGUAAGUCUUUCUUAAAAGUUCGGGGCUCAACCCCGUGAUGGGAAAGAAACUACAUGUCUUGAGUACGGGGGAGGAAAGCGGAAUUCCCAGUGUAGCGGUGAAAUGCGUUGAGAUUGGAAAGAACACCAACGGUGAAAGCACUCUGUUGGGCCGACACUGACACUGAGAGACGAAAGCUAGGGGAGCAAGUGGGAUUAGAUACCCCAGUAGUCCCUGUCUCUUAUACA
rnacentral:rRNA from 1 species